rnacentral:rRNA from 1 species
UACGUAGGUGGCAAGCGUUGUCCGGAUUUACUGGGCGUAAAGAGCGCGCAGGCGGUCGUUCAAGUCGCGUGUGAAAGCCCCCGGCUCAACUGGGGAGGGUCACGCGAUACUGAUCGACUCGAAGGCAGGAGAGGGAAGUGGAAUUCCCGGUGUAGUGGUGAAAUGCGUAGAUAUCGGGAGGAACACCAGUGGCGAAGGCGACUUCCUGGCCUGUUCUUGGCGCUGAGGCGCGAAAGCUAGGGGAGCAAACGGG